rnacentral:lncRNA from 1 species
CAGAGAGUUUGUUGCUGUAAAGGUAAAGAAAAGAUAAGUUUGUCAAAUUUCCUAUUGAAGCAGGGAUUGGACCUGUGAAAUUGUUGUCAGACAAUGUAAGGCUAGAAAGAGAUCUUAACAACCCAAUUUCUUGGGGAAUGGAACCAGAGAGUUUGUUGCUGUAAAGGUAAAGAAAAGAUAAGUUUGUCAAAUUUCCUAUUGAAGCUGGGAUUGGACCUGUGAAAUUGUUGUCAGACAAUGCAAGGCUAGAAAGAGAUCUUAACAAUCCAAUUUCUUGGGAAAUGGAACCAGAGAGUUUGUUGCUGUAAAGGUAAAGAAUGGAUAAGUUUGUCAAAUUUCCUAUUGAAGCAGGGAUUGGACCUGUUAAAUUGUUGUCAGACAAUCCAAGAUCAGAAAGAGAUCUUAACAACCCAAUUUCUUGAGGAAUGAAAUUAGAGAGUUUGUUGUUAUUAAGGUAAAGAACGGAUAAGUGUAUCAUAUUUCCUAUUGAAGCCGGGAUUGGACCUGUGAAAUUAUUGUAAGACAAUUGAAGAUCAGAAAGUGAUCUUAACAAUCCAAUUUCUUGAGGAAUGGAACUAGAGAGUUUGUUGUUGUAAAGGUAAAGAAAGGAUAAGUUUGUCAAAUUUCCUAUUGAAGCAGGGAUUGGACCUGUGAAAUUGUUGUUAGACAAUGCAAGGCUAGAAAGAGAUCUUAAUAACCCAAUUUCUUGGGGAAUGGAACCAGAGAGUUUGUUGUUGUAAAG